UUAAGCCUCUUAACUAGAGGGUGAAAUAACAUGGCUCCAGUGCACGAUGUGUAGGUUAACUGUGUUCAGAACCCACAACUGAAAUGUGUCUACUUUGUUGUUUCCCAGAAAAAAUGAGAUGGAUGAAUUGUUUGCAUCCGUCAGACAAACUCCAACAGAGAAAGAGAUGGACCAACUCUAUCUUCAACACUGCCAGCACUGCCACCUGCAGAGAUUACUGCCUCCUGAAUGGGAAGAAUCCCUUCCUGCCAGAAUCUGGGACACAGGUGCAAAGGCUUGGGGAGAAGCAGAGACACAAACUGAAGAGAUGGCACUCAGGAAAAAAUGUGUCUUUAGGCAGAUUUGGAACUGGUGACAAAUAAGAAAUCUGAAGCAUUUUCAGACACACUUAACAGGCUAAGGUAGGUAGUUUUCAUCCAAACAGUGAUUGUACAUCCAAAAUUGUCAGUUAAUUUAUAAAAUUCCACUUAAAGGGUAGUGUUGUUUUUUUUGUUUGUUUUGUUUUUGUUUUUUUGUAACCAAACACCAUAGAGGACCAUUCUUUUACAAGCAGGCUGAUGUAUUACGAGACAGA
rnacentral:lncRNA from 1 species